UCUUGUUUUUUUAUUUUUUUUCACAGAUUUUACUUUUCAAAAAUAAUUACUUCCCAAAUUAUAUUUUUGUUCAAUUGAAUACAAAUUAAUAAGUAGAAUCGGUGCUCUGCUGCAGUUGUGGAUCCGUCUCUACAGUUGUGCAUCCGCGGAACACCAGUGCUCUGUUCAUAGUUUCGCCGUCAUCUCGUGGCUCCUUUGGUCGCGACUCGCCGUGAUGAGCCGCUGCAGACUCUCCUCUAAUCGUCUUCAAAGGGAAAUCAUGAGACUCCAGUAAUAAAACUCCGACAAUCAUCAUUACACAUUCACACAUACGGAAUCAGAGUAUAGCCAGAUCUGUACGAUUUUUCGCUGCAAUGGGCAUAGGUAACAAACACUGGCUGAAUUCUUAUCCUACCUUAAUUUCAGUCCUCUACUUCUAAAUUCAGCAUCCACAGCCUAGCCAAGAUGAUUUGGAUACAGCCUCAUUCCAGGUUUGAACGCAAGCAAAAGAAGAACUAUAGAAGUAAUGCAAAGAGCGAGAACGUAUACAUGGAUUGUACAUGUGGAUAUCACUACAUCAAUGUACAUAUUUGUUAAAUUUUCUUUGUUUUACAUAUGGAAAAAAAUUUCAGCGCAAGCAAUAGACAUGCCUCUGUCCACUCAUACCCACAUCCAUGUUGUUUGUAGUAGUCUUCCCAACUUUUGACGCGGCACCAUGAUCUUAAUAACUCAAGAGGAAACACGAAAGAAAGAAAAAAAUAUAAUUCAAUAAUGCAAUACAGCUCCGAAAAGAUAAUGCAAUACAAUUAACUCGCUUAUACUAAGCUACGAAGAGAAGAAAGUUGAGGCUUUACUACUAACAGUCCACCAUUCUAUAAAGAGUGUACUCCAACCAAUCACUAACGAAGCUAACCUAAACUGUGUGUUACAGAAAUCAAAUGUAAAAGCACGACCAGAUCACAAAAAGGCAUGAACUUUUUCAGAUAUCUGUACAAUUUUUUUUAUAAAUCUCUCUAAGGAAUAAGUCUAGCAACAAAGGUGAUCCCAAAAAGAGCACAAAGAUCGAACCUUCAAGCGUAGAUUCUUAGCAUCUGCUGGAGCUGCAUUCUCCGAGCUGGUAAGACCGUUUUAAGCUCCAGAGUUCCUAUCUGAAACACAAACACACACACAUCAACCGCCUUGGUUUUCUCAGAUUCUUCACACGGAAAAACCCUAAAUCACGCAAAUGUUCAUUCACAAUCCCUAAUUUCGUGAAAAGCUUCUAAUUCAACACCAAAAGAUUUCGCCUUUUUCGAAAUUGGUUUCGAGGGUCUUGCGAAUAGGUUCCUCUCACUUGUAAUCGAACACCGAGGAUGAUAAAUUGAAAAAAACAGAGAAAGGAAAGAAAAAAGGGAGAAACUUGCCUGGAAGAGAAGCAGCACAUCCCAUAGAUCUUUAUAUAGAGAAUUUGAUGAGAUUAUAGAGCUGAGAGAUCGUAUCCAAUUUUUGGGGUUGAUGGCAGCGAGUCGAGGAAGAAGAAGAAGGAGGAUCGUCCUUGACUUUGCCAACCGAUUAUCCAAGUUUUAUUUUAAAGGCUCUUGACUUUAUUUGUCGUCAUUGUUUUAACGAUGACAACUGACAAGAGAAUACAAAAAAAAUCCAUUACUCUCUUUCAUUAGAAAGAGGAUAGAUUUGUCUUUUCAUCUCCAUAAAGUACCUCAGUAGUAUAAAGUGAUCUUUUAUGAUAUAUAAAGUCAUAAUGUGACUUAAAAGGUAAAUCUCUCGAAAGAAAAAUGGAAAGGGAAGAAAUAAAAAGAAAAGAUCAGAGAGACGGCUCUUGACUAGCGAACAAUCUAUAACUACAAAAUCAAAAAUUGAUGGAGAAAAUCAAAAAUUGAUGGUGAAAAUCAAAAGGUCUACCACGUAUAUUCAAAAAAAAAAAGACAACUUCAAAAUGUAGAAAUAGUAAGAUCCUAAUAUGCAGAUGAAGAGUUUCUUAGAUCUGAAAUAUUUCGAAUGGAACCGGACCGGACGAACAUCAUCUGUAUAUCAGAGACUUUAAUACCUCUGAAGAAACAAACAAAGGGUAGGAAGUAACUAAAAGUGAAGCAAUACUACCACCAUAAAAGAUAAUUUCGUUGAUACAAUCGUAAAAAUCUUUCAGUGUAUUAGAAUCUUUUUUCGUUUGAGCAACCAGUGUUUUAGACUUUAGUCUGAUAUAUGUGGCUUUAUCAGGACCAUCUCUGUUUUGCAUGCCACAUCCAAAUGUGAAAAGAAGCAAAAUGAUGAAAUUUCUCCCAAAAUAAA